UACGGGGGGGGCAAGCGUUGUUCGGAAUUACUGGGCGUAAAGGGCUCGUAGGUGGCCAACUAAGUCAGACGUGAAAUCCCCAGGCUCAACCUGGGAACUGCGUCUGAUACUGGAUGGCUUGAAUUCGGGAGAGGGAUGCAGAAUUCCAGGUGUAGCGGUGAAAUGCGUAGAUAUUGUCAAGAACACCGAUUGCGUAGGCAGCUUACUAAGCUAUAACUGACGCUGAGGCACGAAAGUGUGGGGAUCAAACAGG
rnacentral:rRNA from 1 species